rnacentral:rRNA from 1 species
AAACGCUUGAAGUCAGUCGCGUCUGCCGGAACUCAGCCUUGCUUCUGCUCGGUGCACUUUCCGGUAGGACGGGCCAGCAUCGGUUUCGGGUGGUGGACACUGGCUUGGGGAAGGUGGCGGCUCCGGCCGCGUUAUAGCCCCGAGUGUCAUGCGGCCUUCCGGGACCGAGGAACGCGCUUCGGCUCGGAUGUUGGCGUAAUGG